rnacentral:tRNA from 1 species
UUCAGGGAGACCUACCCUAUUAGAUACCGAACCACAUUGAAUUAGGUACUAGUAAGGUCAUCCUAAGGUCGUUGAAGAUUGGGGUAGAAGUAAUUGGCUUUCAAACUACUAGGUGAGGGACCGUGGGCUAUUAGCUCAGGUGGUUAGAGCGCACCCCUGAUAAGGGUGAGGUCCCUGGUUCGAGUCCAGGAUGGCCCACCUGCAUCAAUUCAGAAUUCUGAAUGCGAAGUUCAAAAUUUUGAGAUAUGGGGGUUUAGCUCAGUUGGUAGAGCGCCUGCUUUGCAAGCAGGAUGUCAGCGGUUCGAGUCCGCUAACCUCCACUGAGGCACGAUUCAGCAACUAGUCUAGUUAUCAAACUAGAGAGCCUGCUGGAUUUCGGUCCAGUCAGAACCUUGAAAACUGCAUAGAAACUUGUCAGGUAGGUAGUCUUAGUUGAUAGCUCUAACGCUAUUCGACUGAAGAUGAAUAUCACAGACACCAAUGUAAUUGA